rnacentral:rRNA from 1 species
AGUCGAGGGGCAGCAUUUCAGUUUGCUUGCAAACUGGAGAUGGCGACCGGCGCACGGGUGAGUAACACGUAUCCAACCUGCCGAUAACUCGGGGAUAGCCUUUCGAAAGAAAGAUUAAUACCCGAUGGYAUAAUUAGACCGCAUGGUCUUAUUAUUAAAGAAUUUCGGUUAUCGAUGGGGAUGCGUUCCAUUAGGCAGUUGGUGAGGUAACGGCUCACCAAACCUUCGAUGGAUAGGGGUUCUGAGAGGAAGGUCCCCCACAUUGGAACUGAGACACGGUCCAAACUCCUACGGGAGGCAGCAGUGAGGAAUAUUGGUCAAUGGACGARAGYCUGAACCAGCCAAGUAGCGUGAAGGAUGACUGCCCUAUGGGUUGUAAACUUCUUUUAUAUGGGAAUAAAGUUUUCCACGUGUGGAAUUUUGUAUGUACCAUAUGAAUAAGGAUCGGCUAACUCCGUGCCAGCAGCCGCGGUAAUACGGAGGAUCCGAGCGUUAUCCGGAUUUAUUGGGUUUAAAGGGAGCGUAGGUGGACAGUUAAGUCAGUUGUGAAAGUUUGCGGCUCAACCGUAAAAUUGCAGUUGAUACUGGCUGUCUUGAGUACAGUAGAGGUGGGCGGAAUUCGUGGUGUAGCGGUGAAAUGCUUAGAUAUCACGAAGAACUCCGAUUGCGAAGGCAGCUCACUGGACUGCAACUGACACUGAUGCUCGAAAGUGUGGGUAUCAAACAGGAUUAGAUACCCUGGUAGUCCACACAGUAAACGAUGAAUACUCGCUGUUUGCGAUAUACAGUAAGCGGCCAAGCGAAAGCAUUAAGUAUUCCACCUGGGGAGUACGCCGGCAACGGUGAAACUCAAAGGAAUUGACGGGGGCCCGCACAAGCGGAGGAACAUGUGGUUUAAUUCGAUGAU